AUGGCACUGGCAGAAGAUUUUAAUCACUGCCAGGAAACAAAGUUUAGCCGGAAAGGAGAGCCAGAGAAGCGAUAGGGAAGCUACAGGUUACAAGAGAUUUGUGAACUCAGUCAGCCAAGCACAGUGGUGGCAGAGCCCAGCUGCUACAAAGAAGAUAUGUUUUAGACAAUACUCACGUGUAUGAGCAAAAAACUCCAGGACUGUAUUUGUGACUAAUUUUAUUAACAGGUUAUUUUCGUUUCUG
rnacentral:lncRNA from 1 species